rnacentral:lncRNA from 10 species
UCUAUUUGUAUUAUGCUGUGAGGACCUAAUUCUUUUUUAUUCUUCUCUGCUUCCAUUGCUCAAGGCUCAAGAUUAGUUCUCAUUUUGUUCUUUGGUAAAUUAUUUAUUUUCUGUUACUCUGUCACCUUUUUAAGAGAUGUUUGGACACAGACAUUCAUUAUUUCAUAUGUAUUAAUCUACUAGUAAUUAGUACAAUCUUUGGAACUUAUUAUAUUAGUUUAGUUGUAUGUGUCAGCUUGGCUAGGCACACUACCCAGUUAUUUAACCAAACACCAAUCUAAGUGUUGCUGUGGGGGUACUUUCUAGAUGUGGUUAACAUCUGCAACUAGAUCUGGCCUUGGACCAGAGGCACUGUGAUCUUUAGUUAUGGCUUUACGUCUCCUGCUCAUGCUCCAAGGUGUAUAGCAGUGCCACCAAAUUGAGUCUCCUUCUAUUCUGCUUAAAGAUUAAGAAAGGAUGUUGCCACAUAGGAAUAGAAUUUUAAAACUCAUGAUGUUCCCAGGUCAUUUGGCUUCUGGAUACCGUCCUCAUCAUGAAACACCCUGUGAAUUCUCUCUGCAUUCUGCUAGAGCUGGGGCUGGAUCUCAUGAACACAGCAAGUAAACAAAUGACUCAGACAGCAGGAGUCCAAUAUCCUCAAUAGUGUGGAUGGGCCUCAUUUAAUCCAUUGAAAGGCCUUAAAAGUCAAACACUGAGAUUUCCCAGAGAAGAAAUUUUGCAUUAAGAUGGCAUCAUUAAUCCUGCCUGAGUUUCCAGCCUCUACCACUUUCAAACUUGCCAUCCCCCACAAUCAUCCAUCCUUUAUCUUGAGAAACAUUUAAGAACAGUAUGGAUGUUGAGAGCAUUAACCAAAAUUCAGAUGAACUGGUUUCAACAUUAGCUUUUCCACUUCCUCCACUUUCUGAUGAAGCUUCUGAAACUCUCCCAACUUUGAUUUUCUUAUGUGCAAAAUACGAAUUAAAAAAACCUAUCCCAUAAAGUUGCUGUGAAAAUUAAAUAGUCAAUGUAUGGAAAUCAUACAGAAGAAUGCCUGGUCAAGUCUUACAGUUCUGGAGGUCAGAUGUCUGAAACGGAUUUUGUGGAGCUAAAGUCAAGGUGUUUGCAGAGCGGUGUUGCUUCUGUGAGCUCGGGAGGCAAUUCUGUUCCUGCCCUUUCCAGUUUCUGGAGGCUGCCUGAAUUCAUGGCCACAUCAUUCCAACUUAGGCUUUUAUAAUUUGAUCUGCGCGACUCCCUGGACUUCAUCCUUUCAUUCGUUAUAAAGAAGUGAUGCCUGGAUCUGUGACAGCCAUCAUGAGAUAAUGAAGCAACAAACUGAAGGCUAAAAGAAAGCCAGCCUGCCAGAACAGUGGGAUUGAAGGACUGAGAGCCUGGGUAUCUCUGAGGCUCCUAUUCAAGCUCUAUGGAACCACAAAUGAGCUUCUUUAAAUAUUUUGCUAAUAAGUAAUGUGUUUCUACGGACAUGUUUCCCUGUCACCCCAACAAAAUAAAUUAUAAUUGACUUGUUCAUUC